GUUCUCCCCGAAAGCUAUUUAGGUAGCGCCUCGUGAAUUCAUCUCCGGGGGUAGAGCACUGUUUCGGCAAGGGGGUCAUCCCGACUUACCAACCCGAUGCAAACUGCGAAUACCGGAGAAUGUUAUCACGGGAGACACACGGCGGGUGCUAACGUCCGUCGUGAAGAGGGAAACAACCCAGACCGCCAGCUAAGGUCCCAAAGUCAUGGUUAAGUGGGAAACGAUGUGGGAAGGCCCAGACAGCCAGGAUGUUGGCUUAGAAGCAGCCAUCAUUUAAAGAAAGCGUAAUAGCUCACUGGUCGAGUCGGCCUGCGCGGAAGAUGUAACGGGGCUAAACCAUGCACCGAAGCUGCGGCAGCGACGCUGAUGCGUUGUUGGGUAGGGGAGCGUUCUGUAAGCCUGUGAAGGUGUGCUGUGAGGCAUGCUGGAGGUAUCAGAAGUGCGAAUGCUGACAUAAGUAACGAUAAAGCGGGUGAAAAGCCCGCUCGCCGGAAGACCAAGGGUUCCUGUCCAACGUUAAUCGGGGCAGGGUGAGUCGACCCCUAAGGCGAGGCCGAAAGGCGUAGUCGAUGGGAAACAGGUUAAUAUUCCUGUACUUGGUGUUACUGCGAAGGGGGGACGGAGAAGGCUAUGUUGGCCGGGCGACGGUUGUCCCGGUUUAAGCGUGUAGGCUGGUUUUCCAGGCAAAUCCGGAAAAUCAAGGCUGAGGCGUGAUGACGAGGCACUACGGUGCUGAAGCAACAAAUGCCCUGCUUCCAGGAAAAGCCUCUAAGCAUCAGGUAACAUCAAAUCGUACCCCAAACCGACACAGGUGGUCAGGUAGAGAAUACCAAGGCGCUUGAGAGAACUCGGGUGAAGGAACUAGGCAAAAUGGUGCCGUAACUUCGGGAGAAGGCACGCUGAUAUGUAGGUGAAGUCCCUCGCGGAUGGAGCUGAAAUCAGUCGAAGAUACCAGCUGGCUGCAACUGUUUAUUAAAAACACAGCACUGUGCAAACACGAAAGUGGACGUAUACGGUGUGACGCCUGCCCGGUGCCGGAAGGUUAAUUGAUGGGGUCAGCGCAAGCGAAGCUCUUGAUCGAAGCCCCGGUAAACGGCGGCCGUAACUAUAACGGUCCUAAGGUAGCGAAAUUCCUUGUCGGGUAAGUUCCGACCUGCACGAAUGGCGUAAUGAUGGCCAGGCUGUCUCCACCCGAGACUCAGUGAAAUUGAACUCGCUGUGAAGAUGCAGUGUACCCGCGGCAAGACGGAAAGACCCCGUGAACCUUUACUAUAGCUUGACACUGAACAUUGAGCCUUGAUGUGUAGGAUAGGUGGGAGGCUUUGAAGUGUGGACGCCAGUCUGCAUGGAGCCGGCCUUGAAAUACCACCCUUUAAUGUUUGAUGUUCUAACGUUGACCCGUGAUCCGGGUUGCGGACAGUGUCUGGUGGGUAGUUUGACUGGGGCGGUCUCCUCCUAAAGAGUAACGGAGGAGCACGAAGGUUGGCUAAUCCUGGUCGGACAUCAGGAGGUUAGUGCAAUGGCAUAAGCCAGCUUGACUGCGAGCGUGACGGCGCGAGCAGGUGCGAAAGCAGGUCAUAGUGAUCCGGUGGUUCUGAAUGGAAGGGCCAUCGCUCAACGGAUAAAAGGUACUCCGGGGAUAACAGGCUGAUACCGCCCAAGAGUUCAUAUCGACGGCGGUGUUUGGCACCUCGAUGUCGGCUCAUCACAUCCUGGGGCUGAAGUAGGUCCCAAGGGUAUGGCUGUUCGCCAUUUAAAGUGGUACGCGAGCUGGGUUUAGAACGUCGUGAGACAGUUCGGUCCCUAUCUGCCGUGGGCGCUGGAGAACUGAGGGGGGCUGCUCCUAGUACGAGAGGACCGGAGUGGACGCAUCACUGGUGUUCGGGUUGUCAUGCCAAUGGCACUGCCCGGUAGCUAAAUGCGGAAGAGAUAAGUGCUGAAAGCAUCUAAGCACGAAACUUGCCCCGAGAUGAGUUCUCCCUGACUCCUUGAGAGUCCUGAAGGAACGUUGAAGACGACGACGUUGAUAGGCCGGGUGUGUAAGCGCAGCGAUGCGUUGAGCUAACCGGUACUAAUGAACCGUGAGGCUUAACCUU
rnacentral:rRNA from 1 species